UUUCCUACUCGCGGGGCGAAUACAGCGGGAAACCGCGUGCUAAUACCGAUGUCGUCACUGGUCGCAUGGCUGGUGCAAGAAGGCAGCAAUGCACGAUGGGGUGGGCCCGCGGCCUAUCAGCUAGUCGGUGGGGUAACGGCCUACCGAGGCGAUGACGGGUAGCUGGUCUGAGAGGACGGCCAGCCACACGGGGACUGAGACACGGCCCACGACUCCAUACGGGAGGCAGCAGUGAGGAAUCUUCCGCAAUGGGCGAAAGUCUGACGGAGCGACGCCGCGUGUGCGAUGAAGUCCUUCGGGAUGUAAAGCACUGUCGGAGGGGAAGACAAAAAAGACGGUACCCUCCAAGAAAGCCCCGGCUAACUACGUGCCAGCAGCCGCAGGUAAUACGUAGAGGGGCAAGCGUAAUCCAGAUUUACUGGGCGUAAAGCGCGUGUAGGCAGGCAUGGUAACGGUGUGAUGUGAACAUCUUCCGGCUCAACCGGAAAACUUGGAUUGAAACCUGGCCUGGGCUAGAGUGCAGGAGAGG
rnacentral:rRNA from 1 species